UACGUAGGGUGCAAGCGUUGUCCGGAAUUAUUGGGCGUAAAGAGCUCGUAGGCGGUUUGUCGCGUCUGCUGUGAAAACUCAGGGCUUAACCCUGAGCUUGCAGUGGGUACGGGCAGACUAGAGUGCGGUAGGGGAGACUGGAAUUCCUGGUGUAGCGGUGAAAUGCGCAGAUAUCAGGAGGAACACCGGUGGCGAAGGCGGGUCUCUGGGCAACAACUGACGCUGAGGAGCGAAAGCGUGGGGAGCGAACAGG
rnacentral:rRNA from 1 species